UAGGACGUUGCAGGACUUUGUUUAGGGGCCAGAGCGCUAAUUUCUUUUUUUUUCUCUUACAGAUUGAAUUUAUUCUAAAAGUUCUAUCUUCACCUCAGUGAGCUCACAGUAAAUGCUGGUGGAGUGUGAAGUCAGCAACAAAAAGAGCUUUCUGAGCAGCUGCAAAAUGUUUUUAACUUUAAGUGGAAGUUGGGGUCACCGGCAUCGUCAGGCCUGAACACUCUCAGCAAGGGCUCUUUCAGCUCUGACAUUGACUAGCUUGCGGACUUGGGACCACAGUCCUCUGCCUGGUCGUCCUUCUUUGCGGCUCAUCUGCUCCGGUCUAGCCUCGAAACCGCAGCUCGGCGACGGGUGUCCCCAGGGGGGCCAGAGGGGCUCACGCGCGCUCAGAGGGCGGCCGCACCGCCGCCCACCUCGGAGGACCAUGCUGCGAGGCAAGUCCCGGCUCAACGUGGAGUGGCUGGGCUACUCGCCGGGCCUGCUCCUCGAGCGCAGUCAUCUCUUGACAGGGCGCACGCCUCGGAACCC